rnacentral:rRNA from 1 species
AGUAGUUUGAUCAUGGCUCAGAACGACGCUGGCGGCAUGCCUAACACAUGCAAGUCGAACGAGACCUUCGGGUCUAGUGGCGCACGGGUGCGUAACGCGUGGGAAUCUGCCCUUUGCUUCGGAAUAACAGUUAGAAAUGACUGCUAAUACCGGAUGAUGUCUUCGGACCAAAGAUUUAUCGGCAAAGGAUGAGCCCGCGUAGGAUUAGGUAGUUGGUGGGGUAAAGGCCUACCAAGCCGACGAUCCUUAGCUGGUCUGAGAGGAUGAUCAGCCACACUGGGACUGAGACACGGCCCAGACUCCUACGGGAGGCAGCAGUGGGGAAUAUUGGACAAUGGGCGCAAGCCUGAUCCAGCAAUGCCGCGUGAGUGAUGAAGGCCUUCGGGUCGUAAAGCUCUUUUACCAGGGAUGAUAAUGACAGUACCUGGAGAAUAAGCUCCGGCUAACUCCGUG